rnacentral:tRNA from 1 species
GCUCUUAUAGCUCAAUGGUAAAGUGUUAAUUUUGUAAACUGAAGGUCUGUAGUUCAAUCCUACAUGGGGGCA